UACCAGCACCCCGAGUGGUCGGGACGUUUUAUUGGGCCUAAAGCAUCCGUAGCCGGUUCUACAAGUCUUCCGUUAAAUCCAACUGCUUAACAGGUGGGCUGCGGAAGAUACUAUAGAGCUAGGAGGCGGGAGAGGCAAGCGGUACUCGAUGGGUAGGGGUAAAAUCCGUUGAUCCAUUGAAGACCACCAGUGGCGAAGGCGGCUUGCCAGAACGCGCUCGACGGUGAGGGAUGAAAGCUGGGGGAGCAAAGCAGG
rnacentral:rRNA from 1 species